CAGUAAUUUGAUGCAGGGCCUCCAUUUCAUCCGUUGAAAUAAAAAAAAACACCACAGCCCUGUGGUUUUCUCUAAGAUUCAUUUUAGCUUCCUUCUAUAACCUUCAUUAAUCUCUCCAGGAACACCUUGCAGAGUCUCGUUCUAAGCCUUUAGGGCUCUGGGGUUAGAGUUAACUCUUAAUUGAGCCUCCUCUUACCAAGAACAAACAACACAGGCUGUCUACCAGGCAGGAUUUACAUACUCAGACUUACACCUUCUCUUCUCCUCCAUUCAAGACAGGGGGGGCAUGCAGAAGCCUUGAUCUCCGAGUGGUCUGUGGCCGUGAGGUGGAGAGAUACAACUGCUUUGUCGAGGACCCAAGGGAAAACCGAGCCGUGGCUGUCUGAGUCUUAUCAAAGGAAAAACGAUUGGUGCCUGGCACAUUACAGGCCCUCAAUGUCUACCAGUUGGAUGACUGAAAGUGACUGGGGCAUCCGCCUGUCAUGGGUACGAAAGCCAGCUUCACCAUUCUCUACCAGCUUGCUCCAGGAGUCAAUGUUCUGGGUGGCUCACAGGAAUUAAUCAUGGCAGUAACACCAUGAGCAGGGUCACUGUGAACUGUUAUGCAGGCAUGUUCUGCGGAAAGGGUCCACUUGGCUGAGAGGCAUGCUUCUUGCCGAAUCAUGAGUGCAGGUGUGGAGCUGUGUCCACUUGGAGGAAGGAAGACCUUUUGCUAAUGCAUAUCCAGGUCUCUCAGGCUGCCCUCACCCCUGGGGGAAGUGGGGGAUGAAUUUGGCAGAGCUGGCCUCAGGAGGUGGAUGGCCUUGCUUCAGAGGCUCUCUGUCAAAACUCUUUCUACUGCUCAAUCAUCUUCCUGGGAAAAAAUAUCAGAUGGCAGGAUCGAGAGGGAGCAGUGUUGCCUGGACAGUGUGGGAAGUAAAUGGCACAGUAUGGGAUUAAAGAAGGAUAUUUGGUAAGUCCUGAACUUGUGUCCCACAAUCAGUUUUCCUCAGACAGGACAAUAAGACACUGCAGGCCUCAGAAGGAUCAAAGUAAAUCAGCCAUGCCUAGCAUAUACUGAAACCAUAUCUGCAAGUUCUGAAGAUCAUGGAACACACAGAAUGUUUGUUGAAUUCAUAUCAAGAUGAAUGAAAAUAAGCGUGGAAAAGAAACUAAGAAGUGAUUAUUCUGUUGUUUUCCAAGCUGGGCAAACCACAUGUGUAGCAAGGCUGGCAUUUGUCCUGAAUCACUAUGUUUCCAGGACCACAGACACCCAGGAGUAUAGUCAGAAGUAGGUACGUGGAUCUCAAAACAAUGUUAUAAGAAAGCUUGAAGGAAUGGAGAACAUUUAGCCCAGGAGAGCAUCCAUGGGACAUGACUAUUAUUUUCAGAAAAUGGAAGGCUCUUGAUGUAGGGCAGGGAAUCACAAUUGUUUUGUAUGGCCUCAAGGAGCACUGGAGCCAUGCAUGUGAAUUGCAUUUUAGCUUAGAAUUUAAACUUCGGAAAACAUUCUAAUAAUAGAGCUUUUAAAUAUAGAAUAGGCAGACUCAGUAGGAAGUCAGCCAUCUACAAGUAAAGGUCUUCAGCAUGUGCUCUAUCAGGUGACAGAUUCAAAAGUUAGUCUGGAUUACCUUUAAAGGAAAAAAUUAUUUGAUUCUAUGAAAGGGGGGAGAAAAGUCACUAUAUUAGUUGGAGUAAGGGCUCCAUAACAGAGACUCAACAAUUCAAUCACAUAAAGGGCCAGGAAAUUGAUGACUCUCUCCCAGAACACUGCAAGGCAGGUAGGCAGCCUCUGCUUCAUAAAACCAUCAUGGGAACCAGGCUGGGGUGGGAGAACCUCAAUGUGAGGCUUCUGAGGCAAACCCGGUUGUCAACCAUAUCCAGUCAGUGGGAGGAAACAGGCGAAGUCCAGGACUGGAUACUGCUUAUUAACCAUGGAAUACAGAAGUUGCACGCAUUACUUCUACUCCUGUUCCAUUGGUGUAUCUGGUCUCCUGACUACAUUUCACUGCAAGGGAUGCUGGGAAGUGUACUCUGAGCCAAGCAGCCAGGAAGAAAAAAAAUGAAUUGAGAAUCCCAUGGCAGACUUGUGAUGGACAUCCCAAUUAUCCUGAUUUGAUCAUUACACGUUGCAUGUAGGUAUCCGAAUAUCACAUAUACCCCAAAAAUAUGUACAACUAUUAUAUAUAAAUAAAAAAAAUUUUAAACAGCACACUUGGCUACAGUCAUCUAUCAAACUAUCUGUCAAUUGUUUAUACAUCUAUUACUAUAUUAAUAAUAAACACCAAUGUGUUAUAUUAAUAUUAAUAAAUUACUACAGUUAAAAACACUGCUUUAAAGCCAUUCUGCCUGGUUAUGACACCUAACUCCACCA
rnacentral:lncRNA from 10 species